GCGGUGGUGAGCCACACCGCAGCCGCUUGGGCAUGAGCCACUUACAGUGAGCACGCUCGCCUGGUGCUCCUUCCAAGACUGAAUCAAGAGUGUUUUAAGUUCAAGUGCGCUGGGCUCGCAUCAGAUGUGAUUGAAGGGGAGCUACUCCUGGCGUCUCUAAGCAGUGGGUGAAGAGCCAGCUCCAGGUGCCAGAGGGCCCAUCGACAGAGGGGCGCUCACCACGGGGCGCCCCCUUCUUCAAGGACAGGGCUUGAAAGCAAACUUCAGAGGGAUCAGACUCCUCCCCGCCCCCACCCAGCAAAGGCCUCGUCCCAGGGAAGCCACUGGCGGGGUCUCAGCCUGUCUGCGCCCGGUGUGAGCAUGAGCCUUUCCUAAUUCUGCAAAUGCCGUGACCACAGGUUCCGCAGCCCCUCCAGCCUCGGCGGCCACACCUCCCCACAGGGCGCGGAGGGUCCCUCACUGACCUGUCUCUCCAUCAUGCUUCUCUUCUGCCCACAAAAGGAGUGGGGAGUGGGAAGGGGUGACUGUGGGGCUUUGGCCGAAUUGUCACCACCAUACGCCAUAGGGAAGUGCUCGGUCCCAGAAGCUGCUGUUCUCAGAAUUCUGGAUCCAGGGCUGCCAUGUGUCCUGGGCAUUGCACAACUCCAGGGCGGGAUCUGCAAACUUGUACUUGAUGGAUGCUAAGAGUUUGAGACAGAUGGUAAACAUUUCAGGCUUGGCAGGCCACCCACGCUGUCUGUCUCUCAACUACGCAAGAGUGCUGUUGUGGUGAGAGAGUACUCACAGAUGACACAGACACGAAUGGGUGAAGCUGUGUUUCAAUAAAACUUUAUUCGUGCUGGGCUCCUAAGCUGUGGCUCCGCUUAGCCCUGUCCACCCUCUGGGCCCCUGUGAGAAGCCAAUGCCAUACUGGAGGGGUAUUUUCAAGAAGGCAGUAGAGGGGCUGGUACUGUGGCAC